CAAGGUUUCCGUAGGUGAACCUGCGGAAGGAUCAUUACCGAGUUCUCGGGCUUCGGCUCGAAUCUCCCACCCUUUGUGAACAUACCUCUGUUGCUUUGGCGGCUCUUUGCCGCGAGGAGGCCCUCGCGGGCCCCCCCGCGCGCUUUCUGCCAGAGGACCUUCAAACUCCAGUCAGUAAACGUCGACGUCUGAUAAACAAGUUAAUAAACUAAAACUUUCAACAACGGAUCUCUUGGUUCUGGCAUCGAUGAAGAACGCAGCGAAAUGCGAUAAGUAAUGUGAAUUGCAGAAUUCAGUGAAUCAUCGAAUCUUUGAACGCACAUUGCGCCCCCUGGCAUUCCGGGGGGCAUGCCUGUUCGAGCGUCAUUACAACCCUCAAGCUCUGCUUGGUAUUGGGCGCCGUCCUCUCUGCGGACGCGCCUUAAAGACCUCGGCGGUGGCUGUUCAGCCCUCAAGCGUAGUAGAAUACACCUCGCUUUGGAGCGGUUGGCGUCGCCCGCCGGACGAACCUUCUGAACUUUUCUCAAGGUUGACCUCGGAUCAGGUAGGGAUACCCGCUGAACUUAAGCAUAUCAAUAAGCCGG
rnacentral:rRNA from 1 species